UACGGGGGGGGCAAGCGUUGUUCGGAAUCACUGGGCGUAAAGGGUGCGUAGGCGGGUCUUUAAGUCAGGGGUGAAAUCCUGGAGCUCAACUCCAGAACUGCCUUUGAUACUGAAGAUCUUGAGUUCGGGAGAGGUGAGUGGAACUGCGAGUGUAGAGGUGAAAUUCGUAGAUAUUCGCAAGAACACCAGUGGCGAAGGCGGCUCACUGGCCCGAUACUGACGCUGAUGCACGAAAGCGUGGGGAGCAAACAGG
rnacentral:rRNA from 1 species